GGUUAACUUGGACUUAGUGAACUUCUUCUAUGUUGAUACCUGGGUUGUUGAGAUGCUCAAUGAAAAUUUUUUCUAGCUUGUUGCAACCGAAUGUUGCAAGUCGGGAUAAAAAACCAGCUUGGAUAUUCUCUGAGCGAAGAAUGUGAAAAAUCUCAAAGUAGUCAAAAUUCACAUGCAAAGAUCGAAGCUUUUGAAGAUACCUCGCUAGGACUAGAUCUCGGGCUUCAUAUUCUCCUCGUGAUUGUCUAACCACCAAUUAUGAGUUGGUGAAGAUUUUUAGCUACUUUAUACUAAAAUUCUUAGCUACUUUUAGUCCAA
rnacentral:lncRNA from 1 species